rnacentral:rRNA from 1 species
AGUCACUGACAUUAGAUACCCGGGUAGUCCCAGCCGUAAACAAUGUGCGUUAGGUGUGUCGGUAACCACGCGUUACUGAUGCGCCGAAGAGAAAUCGUGAAACGCACCACCUGGGAAGUACGGUCGCAAGGCUGAAACUUAAAGGAAUUGCGGGGAGCACCACAACAGGUGGAGCCUGCGGUUUAAUUGGAUUCAACGCCGGACAUCUCACCGGAUAAGACAGCUGAAUGAUUGUCAAUCUGAAGGUUUUACAUGACUAGCUG